CUUUCUGCUGGAGGAAUUCCUCUGCACCGACACCUAGCGGCAGAUCAGCCUUCCGGCUAUCCGUCCCUGCAAAGUAAAACAUUGCUUUACUCAAGAUAUCGACCUAAUUAUGUCACUUAAUCGUGUUGGAGCCUAAACAGAACGUGUAAUCGUGUUCGAACCUAAACCGGACUAAACCAGACGUGUAACGUGUAACGGUGUUCGAGCCCUACAUUUCAACUAAACACUGGAGCAAGCAAGUCAAUCAAUACCCAUUUAGCCCCGCCCCUCCCCGCCCCCUUCUAAACAUUGGUUUCCCAAAGUCACGCGUCCUGACAGCCAACCUCUGUAAAGGGCAAGCUACUUCCUCUGUUCCCUUCACAAGCUGCCCUUAAACCCAGCCUCUGAGCUGCAUGGCCGUUUUCAGAUUGUCUUCCUAGGAAGGAAGGGCUCCGAAUUUUCUCUCAACAGUUCUUGUGGCCAAGAAGCAGGUUGGGGACAAGAGGCCUGGUGACCCCCCAGGCUGGUGAGUAGCGGGUGCUGGUACCCCUGAGCCCACUGCCCUGUCUGCCUCCCCCAGGGCCUUGGAGUUCCAGGGUAAAGCUCAGCUCUGAGCUCCACUCCCUUAGUGUGGAGCUCUCUGAUCCUGAGCCAUCUCUGUUGAAGCUUCUUGAUAAUUCAUCCUCUUCUACUGAAACCAGGAGAACUCAGAGGUGGGGAAAGGGAGAGAUAGAAAUAUAUUGCCAGCACCGGUUUGGCUCAGUGGAUAGAGCGUCGGCCUGUGGACUGAGGGGUCCCAGGUUCGAUUCCGGUCAAAAGCAUGUACCUGGGUUGCGGACACAUCCCCGGCAGCACAUGUGCAGGAGGCAGCUGAUCAAUGUUUCUCUCUCAUCAAUGUUUCUAACUCUCUAUCCCUCUCCCUUCCUCUCUGUAAAAAAUCAAUAAAAUGCAUUUUAAAAAAAGAAA